UACGUAGGGUGCAAGCGUUGUCCGGAAUUAUUGGGCGUAAAGAGCUCGUAGGCGGUUUGUCGCGUCUGCUGUGAAAACUGGAGGCUCAACCUCCAGCCUGCAGUGGGUACGGGCAGACUAGAGUGCGGUAGGGGAGAUUGGAAUUCCUGGUGUAGCGGUGGAAUGCGCAGAUAUCAGGAGGAACACCGGAUGGCGAAGGCAGAUCUCUGGGCCGUAACUGACGCUGAGGAGCGAAAGCGUGGGGAGCGAACAGG
rnacentral:rRNA from 1 species